rnacentral:rRNA from 1 species
GACGAACGCUGGCGGCAGGCCUAACACAUGCAAGUCGAGCGCUCUAGCAAUAGGGAGCGGCGCACGGGUGCGUAACGCGUGGGAAUGUACUCCUUGGUACGGAACAACAUCGGGAAACUGAUGCUAAUACCGUAUAAUAUCUCCGGAUCAAAGAUUUAUCGCCAAGGAAUCAGCCCGCGUCAGAUUAGCUAGUUGGUGAGGUAAUGGCUCACCAAGGCUACGAUCUGUAGCUGGUCUUAGAGGAUGAUCAGCCACACUGGAACUGAGACACGGUCCAGACUCCUACGGGAGGCAGCAGUGAGGAAUCUUGGACAAUGGGGGCAACCCUGAUCCAGCCAUGCCGCGUGAGUGAUGAAGGCCUUCGGGUUGUAAAGCUCUUUUAGCUGUGAAGAUAAUGACGGUAACAGCAGAAAAAGCCCCGGCUAACUUCGUGCCAGCAGCCGCGGUAA